rnacentral:rRNA from 1 species
CGUGCCUAAUACAUGCAAGUCGAGCGAGCUUGCCUAGAUGAUUUUAGUGCUUGCACUAAAUGAAACUAGAUACAAGCGAGCGGCGGACGGGUGAGUAACACGUGGGUAACCUGCCCAAGAGACUGGGAUAACACCUGGAAACAGAUGCUAAUACCGGAUAACAACACUAGACGCAUGACUAGAGUUUGAAAGAUGGUUCUGCUAUCACUCUUGGAUGGACCUGCGGUGCAUUAGCUAGUUGGUAAGGUAACGGCUUACCAAGGCAAUGAUGCAUAGCCGAGUUGAGAGACUGAUCGGCCACAUUGGGACUGAGACACGGCCCAAACUCCUACGGGAGGCAGCAGUAGGGAAUCUUCCACAAUGGACGAAAGUCUGAUGGAGCAACGCCGCGUGAGUGAAGAAGGGUUUCGGCUCGUAAAGCUCUGUUGGUAGUGAAGAAAGAUAGAGGUAGUAACUGGCCUUUAUUUGACGGUAAUUACUUAGAAAGUCACGGCUAACUACGUGCCAGCAGCCGCGGUAAUACGUAGGUGGCAAGCGUUGUCCGGAUUUAUUGGGCGUAAAGCGAGUGCAGGCGGUUCAAUAAGUCUGAUGUGAAAGCCUUCGGCUCAACCGGAGAAUUGCAUCAGAAACUGUUGAACUUGAGUGCAGAAGAGGAGAGUGGAACUCCAUGUGUAGCGGUGGAAUGCGUAGAUAUAUGGAAGAACACCAGUGGCGAAGGCGGCUCUCUGGUCUGCAACUGACGCUGAGGCUCGAAAGCAUGGGUAGCGAACAGGAUUAGAUACCCUGGUAGUCCAUGCCGUAAACGAUGAGUGCUAAGUGUUGGGAGGUUUCCGCCUCUCAGUGCUGCAGCUAACGCAUUAAGCACUCCGCCUGGGGAGUACGACCGCAAGGUUGAAACUCAAAGGAAUUGACGGGGGCCCGCACAAGCGGAGGAACAUGUGGUUUAAUUCGAUGAUACGCGAGGAACCUUACCCGGGCUCAAACGCAGGAGGGAUGUUUUUGAAAGGAGGCAGCCAGCAAUGGUCUCCUGCGAGGUGCUGCAUGGUUGUCGUCAGCUCGUGCCGUGAGGUGUCGGCUUAAGUGCCAUAACGAGCGCAACCCCUACCUACAGUUGCCAUCGCGUGAUGGCGGGCACUCUGUGGGGACUGCCUGCGCAAGCAGUGAGGAAGGCGGGGAUGACGUCAAAUCAGCACGGCCCUUACGUCCGGGGCGACACACGUGUUACAAUGGCAGGUACAGCGGGAAGCCACCCGGCGACGGGGCGCGGAACCCGAAAACCUGUCUCAGUUCGGAUUGGAGUCUGCAACCCGACUCCAUGAAGCUGGAUUCGCUAGUAAUCGCGCAUCAGCCACGGCGCGGUGAAUACGUUCCCGGGCCUUGCACACACCGCCCGUCA